rfam:Homo sapiens chromosome 8 genomic contig HG76_PATCH, GRC reference assembly FIX PATCH for GRCh38.
GCUGGGCAUGGAGGCGCAUGCCUGUAAUCCCAGCUACUCUGGAGGCUGAGGCAGGAGAAUUGCUUGAGCCCAGGAGGCAGAGUUGCAGUGAGUUGAAAUUGUGCCACUGCACUGCAGCCUGGCCUACAGAGCUAGACUCUGUCUCAA